UGCCAAUUUACAAAAACUAACACUCAUAUUGCAUUUGCAUUACUAAGGCAAAAUAAUAAUAAUCAUCAUCAUCUCUUGUUCCCGCCCACUGCUCCGCUCCUCCUCAAUCCAUCUUGGCAUCUCAACCACCGAUUGCCUUCCUACCAGCCUCCACAGUACGAAGCUUUCGCUCUUGGCCCUUGGGAGUUACAUCCUUCCUUGUCCAUCGAUCACCUCCCCCGAAAGCUCCUGCUUCCUAUUGUCUGCUCAUGCCACUCCAUAAUUUCACAUGCCUCCACCAGAUCGUUUAAACCGCUCUGCAGAACACCCAUAACGGUUUCUUUGCUGUCUGUCGAAUAAGAAAUGGAAAAAAAUUACUGCUGCCAAGGAGUCUUUCCCCUUCUACUCUCAAUCAUGAGUUCAGUUUCGUAUUAUGUCAGCACGUGGGCUUUGAUGCGCUGGUUUCUUUGUUGAAUAUCAAGGCAAUUUAAGUUUGCUCCUAUCUAUCCAAAGGGUACUUAUGGGAGGGCACUUGUCAUUCAUUUUUUUCAUUUUGUUUUGUUUUAUAGAAAUGGAGACAGUAUAUCAAAAUUUAGUGUAAGGGGAAAUAUACAGGGUAUAUAGUAUUGAUCUGUCGAAGCAUAUAUAUGAUGGUGCUCUCGAUCUCUGUCAUGUUUAUGGGUUGGUUAAGUUGUAUAAUGAGACUGAAUUUUAAAGAAUAAUUAUAGAAUAUGGGUCAGCUUUCGCUUAGUGAUAUUUGGUUGGACUAUUGUGGCAAAAAUAGAAGAUAUUCAGUUGGACUA